CUGCUGCGCGGACGGAUGGCUUGGGUGUCGGUUCCGCCCAGCGAGCGGGCCAGGGGCUGUGCGGCCAGCCCCUUGGCGAUCCCAGGCCGCCCCAGCAGC
rnacentral:tRNA from 1 species